rnacentral:rRNA from 1 species
CCUACGGGAGGCAGCAGUGGGGAAUAUUGCACAAUGGGGGAAACCCUGAUGCAGCAACGCCGCGUGAGGGAAGACGGUUUUCGGAUCGUAAACCUCUGUCAUCAGGGAAGAAUAAUGACGGUACUAACGAAGAAAGCCACGGCGAACUACGUGCCAGCAGCCGCGGUAAUACGUAGGUGGCAAGCGUUGGCCGGAAUUACGGGGCGAAAAGGGAGCGCAGGCGGGAAGCCAAGUCAGCUGUGAAAGCUACGGGCUUAACGUGUUGACUGCCGUGGAAACUGGUUUUCUUGAGUGAGGUAGAGGUUGGCGGAAUUCCGGGUGUAGCGGUGAAAUGCGUAGAUAUUCGGAGGAACACCGGUGGCGAAGGCGGCCAGCUGG